rnacentral:rRNA from 1 species
UACGUAGGGUGCGAGCGUUAAUCGGAAUUACUGGGCGUAAAGCGUGCGCAGGCGGUGAUGUAAGACCGAUGUGAAAUCCCCGGGCUUAACCUGGGAACUGCAUUGGUGACUGCAUUGCUGGAGUAUGGCAGAGGGGGGUGGAAUUCCACGUGUAGCAGUGAAAUGCGUAGAGAUGUGGAGGAACACCGAUGGCGAAGGCAGCCCCCUGGGUCAAGAUUGACGCUCAUGCACGAAAGCGUGGGGAGCAAACAGG